rnacentral:lncRNA from 1 species
GUGAAAGACUUGGCGUCGGUCUCUCUGAAGCAGCCAGUGCGUAUCUUUGUGAAAAGCAACACAGACGUGGCGCCCUACAGGAGUUUGUCAGGAUCCGACCAGCCAGGGAAGGAGACAAGGAGGCGGUUGUGGGCGCCCUGCUGACACAGAUGUUCCAGGACCACGUGAUGGUGUUCACUCAGACUAAGAAGCAGGCCCACCGGAUGCACAUCCUCCUGGGCCUGAUGGGGCUAAAGGUGGGGGAGCUGCACGGGAACCUGUCCCAGACCCAGAGACUGGAGAGCCUCAGAGGUGAUUUCAAAGUUCUGAGACCUGAUUGAGAAGCUGAAGAAGGACGUGUACGCCGUGAUGCGCCUGGAGAGAGAGGAGAGGGCCAUGGCCUACACGGAGGCUCAGGUUAAAAGCAGCAUAUUGUGUGUAUUCAAAUAGAUGGUAGUGUGUUCCUGUGGUCAUAUGUGUGUAUGUGUAUUUUGUGUAUGUGUGCGCACGUGUCAUUAAGAUCAGUGUGGCACAGAAGCAGCUAGCACAGAACGCAGAUGAGACAGACCCCCAGAGGACGUGGUUCAAAAUGCACGAUGAGCGCAAGAAAGACUGCAUGGCCAAAGCUCUGGCGGACUUUGACUUGGCCCUAAGGGGAAAGAAGAGUGAGAAGUUCAUCAAAGAGGGGAAAAAGAAAGAUUUAUCGUCUGAGGACAGAGCCCAGUUUGAGAUCCUCAAGUCCCAGAUGUACGCCGAGUGAGCAGCCAAGAGGGACCGCACACCUAAACGAGCCAGGGCCAUGCCAGAGGAUGAGCCUGUCCAGAAAGGCCCAUCCCUCCCCCGUGUCAUCGAUGGCCAGCCAGCGUAUACGGUGAGACGCCUCCUGAGGGUUCGACCACGGGGCAGGGGUUUCCAGUACCUGGUUGACUGGGAGGGUUGCUGUCACUUCCUGAUCUGUUUCACCUGUCCUUGUGAUUGUCUCUACCCCCUCUAGGUGUCGCUUAUUUUCCCUGGUGUAUGUAUCCCUGUGUUUCCUGUCUCUCUGUGCCAGUUCGUCUUGUCAAGUCAACCAGUGUUUUGACCAUUGCCUGCCCUGACUCUGUACCCGUAUGCUUGACUAUUCUGCCUGCCCUGACCUCGAGCCUGCCUGCCUGCCUGGACUAUGACCUUGUUAUGAACUUUUUACCUGUACACGACCAUUAUCUUGCCUGCCCCUUGGAUCCUAAUAAAUAUCAGAGACUCGAACCAUCUGCCUCCCAUGUCUGCAUCUUAGUCUUGCCCUGUGCCUUAUACAUAUACAGUUGAAGUCAGAAGUUAACAUACACUUAUGUUGGAGCCAUUAAAACUCAUUUUUCAACCGCUCCACAAAUUUCUUGUUAACAAUCUAUAGUUUUGGCAAGUCGGAUAAGACAUUUACUUUGUGCAUGACAAGUCAUUUUUCCAACAAUUGUCUACAGACUAUUUCACUUAUAAUUCACUGUAUCACAAUUCCAG